GGCAAGGCCGGCGGCAACAAUUCGCUGUGAACCCCGUCAGGCCCGAGAGGGAGCAGCGGUAGCAGUCGGGUUGUGUGCCGCCGGCCCUGCCGGC
rnacentral:SRP_RNA from 1 species